GAGGUUAAGCGACUAAGCGUACACGGUGGAUGCCCUGGCAGUCAGAGGCGAUGAAGGGCGUGCUAAUCUGCGAUAAGCGCCGGUAAGGUGAUAUGAACCGUUAUAACCGGCGAUACCCGAAUGGGGAAACCCAGUGUGACUCGUCACACUAUCAUUAACUGAAUCCAUAGGUUAAUGAGGCGAACCGGGGGAACUGAAACAUCUAAGUACCCCGAGGAAAAGAAAUCAACCGAGAUUCCCCCAGUAGCGGCGAGCGAACGGGGAGGAGCCCAGAGCCUGAAUCAGCAUGUGUGUUAGUGGAAGCGUCUGGAAAGGCGCGCGAUACAGGGUGACAGCCCCGUACACAAAAGCGCAUGUGUUGUGAGCUCGAUGAGUAGGGCGGGACACGUGGUAUCCUGUCUGAAUAUGGGGGGACCAUCCUCCAAGGCUAAAUACUCCUGACUGACCGAUAGUGAACCAGUACCGUGAGGGAAAGGCGAAAAGAACCCCGGCGAGGGGAGUGAAAAAGAACCUGAAACCGU
rnacentral:rRNA from 1 species